rnacentral:lncRNA from 1 species
UUCAUUAGGAAACCUUGUUUCAAGAGAUUUGGGAAGAUCAUAGGUGUCUAAACCAGACAUCUUUUGGGAGAUAUUCAAGAUAGUUGAUUUAAAGUCCUUAAUAUGACACCCAAUAUGAAAUAUUAAGGCUAGGACCCAACAAACUAUUUUAUAACUUAGAAGAGGUAUGCCGUAAUCCAAGCUAUAAAAUAUUUGAAGGUAGGUGAAUGACGAUUCACCAAUUUCCACCAAGAUAAACGAAAUGUAUUAUUAGGUUUUAAUUGGUUUUGAAACUCCUAGAUCUUUGAGAUUCAUUGAACUUUUCAAAGGCAUGUUUCAAUCUCGAGUGUGCCCUUCAGGUUUUGUGACUGGGAUGCCGAGGAUCACAAAACAAGGUGUGAAGUAACCAUGCAAAUCACUUGGUACCCUUAAUAAAUUACCCCUCAAUCGAUGUGCCGGUUAACCACACACGCUCCAUCGAUACUAUGAUAAAUAUUAAGUCACCCUUUACCUACCUUGUUAAGUCCAAGUUAGUGUGCCGGUUAACCACACACGCUCCACUAACGACUUAGACAAAGUGUAAAGUGUAAUUUCAUGGAUUAGCACCUUAUUCACAUUUUUCCUAAGUAACUAAGAUUGGGUAUUAUUAAGAGUUUAGUUACUUAGUAUUAUCAUUAAUACUUUUAAUGAAGGGAGAAUUCUAGUCCUGUCAAACCCGUUCGGCUAACGACCCUCCACCAGUCAAGCAAGCGGUGGGUGAGAGUGGACACCCAUUAAGUUGCCAUUUUAUAGGCAACAACCUUAUACCCACCUUAUAGACCGGCUUCGUGAAUGAGGCGUACUAGCGGUAAGACUGACUUUACUCUUAUACAUAUAUAUAUUAUUAACUUAUAAUAUUAUAAAGUAUAAGGGUUGAAUUUUAACUUUUAAAAUUCUAAGGGCUAACUUGGAAUUAAAGUAUUCAUAAGUGAAAACUUUACAAAUUCCAAAACUUGAGGGCAAGUUUUGAAACUAUUCAAAACUAAUUAAUUCCAUAACUUAUGUGUUUAAAGUAGUUUUAAUCCAAAAACUCUUCAAGUUCCAUAACUUGAGGACAAGUUAUGGAAGACUUUAAACUAAUAAAAGAAUUAACUUUUCUUUAUUUUAUAACUUAUGGAAUUAAUUAAGGUUACCCUUUUUUUUAUUUUAUUUUAUUUUAUUAAAUGAAGAGACUCUUGGUCCUCCAUAACUUGAGGACAAGUUAUGGAGUCAUAAAACCAUUUAAUUAGAACUAGACUCUUCAUUUUUGUAACCUUUGCCAAUUUUUAUGAGUUUUAUGAUUCUUAAAUGUGACUUUUCAUAUAACUUGAGGACAAGUUACAAAAACACAUUUUAGAAUCAAUUCUUAGAUUAAUUUGGAUUAAAACCAACUAUCACAUAAUUUUAUUCAUUAAUCUAAAUUCACUCAUAAAACAAGGUAACACAAAAAACUUUUGGUGAUCCAUAACUUAUUCUUAAGUUAUGGAAUCCUUUAAAACAUUAACACCAAAUUUUGUAACUCCAAAAAAACUUUGAAUUAAUUUUUUUUUUAAAACCUUUUCAUAUCCAUAACUUAUGGAGGUUUCAAAAAAUAAAACUCUUUAGAUCAAACUUUUAAAACUAAUAAAAUAAUCAUAUUAUUUUAUCUUUUAUUAAAUUUGACCUAAUUCAACUCAUAAAGCAAAUUAUUCAAAUUUUACAAAUAAUUAGUUUUUCACAAGAACAAGUAAUUAUCUUAAAAUUUGACGAACUUCAUGUUUUUUUUUUUUUUUUUUUUCAACUUUGAAAAUAAAAUAUUUGCAUCAAUAUAACAGAAAACAACCCGUGGCUCUGAUACCACUGUUGGGUUUUGAGCAUUCUAACACUUCCUAAGUGUACAUGCAACCCUAAAUACCUUGGAUCUAUGUUUUCUCUAUUAUACAUGCAAAUAAGAACUUCCAAGGUAUUAUCCUAAUCUAGCAUAUAAAACAAUGGAUAUAGUAGGAUAGAAUACAUACCUUUUUGGUGUAGUAAGUCUUCAUGAAGCUUGAGUGCUUAGUGCCCCAAGUGUGACACCUCAAAUGGAAUCACAAUCAUCAAAACACUUGGAAUGACUUGAGAGAAUUCUACACUCAUCAAAAUCGGCUAGCCCUUUCUUCACUAUCUCUAGUGGCCGAUUUUUCCUCAAUAAUAAGAUGCUUAUAUAGUUACACAAUUAGGGUAAACUCUUAAUUGUCAUGGCUUUCCAUUUCCUUGGAUCCAUGGGUACAAAUACACCAUGGAGCAUCCAUGGACCAUCCUAUGGGUUUUAGCCCAACUUGAUUAUCCAUGGAGCAUUAGCCCACUAUACAAGUAUGGAUGAUUUACACAAUCAACCCAUAUAUUUAAUUAGUCUUCUUUUGAUCACUUAAUUAAUCCUAGAUUAAUUCUUGAUCAAUACUAAUUAAAUAAUCUUAUUAUUCUUAUUAUUAAUAUACUAGAACUUAUAAUAUAUUAAUAACCAUAAGUGUCUUAUUUCUCUCAUUCAAGUGCAUGAUGGUAUGCAACCCAAAUGGACCAUGCCGGGUUGGGUCAAGUCUUACCAAAUAUAGUUAUGGACUUAGACAUUAAUCCAACAAAAAGGACAGGUUAUUAAGCUCUGGAGUGCAUCAACUCAUAAAGCCUCAAGCUUGGGACCAAAAACCCUAAAAUGGACCCUAAUAUGCACAAAAGAAAAAAAGAGGGAAAUCUUGGAGCUUUAUACCUUCAAAUGAUGCUCUAGCCCCAAGAAAUCUCAGAUCCACAGCCUGCUCUUCAACUUCACUCCUUUCUGUGCUCCUUCUUAACUCUUAAUAGUCCACAAGAACACAAAAAAGCUCAUCAUGGCCACCACAAGCUUCAAGAACGGAUAUUAGGGUUUGAGAGGGUUUAAUAACUGAGGAAGGUGGCCAGAAAUGAGACCAUCUCUUUCUUUUUAUAGGGACACUUCACUUAAUUAGGGUUCCCUUAUGUGCCUAGUAUGCCCAGCGUACCCCCUGGUACGCCCAACGUACUAGGUGGCUCUUGCUUAAGAAACACACGCAUCUGUACGCUAAGCGUACGCAUAUGUACGCCCAGCGUACUUCGCUGCCACAUUUCUCCACUUUAGGGACUCAUCUUGCCAACUCUUCAAAUUUCUAUAGCUUCUUUGAUAUAAAUCCGAUUCCAAAGAUCCCCAUACCUACGGAAAAGUGAUGAGAUGCUUUACGAUUCCAGAAACUCGCCACCACCCGAGACUUCCUCAUGCCCGGCUCGUGGCCCACUUCACUUAUCCAAGUGGGAGACUGUUGGAUUAGUUUCUAAGCCUGUAACCAUAUUUGGUAAGUACUUGACCCGGUUGUGCAUGGUCCUUUUGGGUUGCCUUCACCAAAGCAAAUUAACUGGUGAAAUAAUAGAGAAAGAGGUUCUUAUGAUUUAUUAAUAUAUUAUAAGAAUAAUAUAUUAAAGGAGAAAUCAUAUUUGUUUAAUUAAUAUUGGUCAAUAAUUAAUUAAGAAUUAAUUUUGUGAUCAAAUGUAAUUAAUUAAACUAGAGGGGCUAAAUUGUUAUUAUGUGAUAGUUGCAAAUUAGGGCAAUCGAUGCCCCAUGGAUAGGGUGGAUGAAUUCAAGGUGAUAGGGCAUUAGAAUUCGUCCAAGGAUAAGGCUUCUACGCUUAUCAUAUGGUUUGCUUGGUGGGCAAGCAACUAGAUAAGGAUAAGGACUGAAACCCUAAUCUAUACCCUAUAUAAAGACCCCUUAGACCUUAGGAAAUCGGCCACUUGAUCCCUAGAAGGCUUAGAGUCGAUUUCCUACCUCUCCCUUCUCUCUCUCUCUUGCCUCUCCAUUUGCUUGUGGUGUUUGUGAGCCAUUAGAGGUACUACACUUGUGGUACUUGCUUUCAAGACUAAAAGAUUGAAGAUUUGUGUUGUUAUUGCAAUAUAACAACAAGAGGUAUGUAAUCACUUCUACUACAUAGAUUUUGAAAUACCUAGGUGUAUGCUAGGGUUCUUCUCGUGUUCAUGAAGUUGUGUAUCUAAUAGAGAAAACAUAGAUCCAAAUAUAGGGUUGCAUGCACACAUAGGAUUGUUUGUAUAAAACCCUUCAUGUUUUACUAACAUACAUGCAAAUUUGAUUUUCCAAGGUUCUUAUCCUAACUAGCAUGGCAUGGGGUACUUGUGAUAUAAAAUCUAGUAGAAUAACAUACCUUUCUUGUUGCUUGGAUUCCUUAAGAACUUUGUGAUCCUAGUACCCCAAAUGUGAUGCCUCAAAUGUUUGACAAAACCACUCAAAAUCGGCUACCCUCCUUGUUCUUGUAUUAGUCCGAUUUUGCUAGCCUAUGGGGUCUUUAUAUAGUGUGUCACAAUUAGGGUUACACCAUGUAAACCCUAAUUGACAUGGCUUUUUCAUUUCCUCUAUGAUCUAUGGGUUUUAACCUCCAUGGAGCACCCUAUGGGUUUUAGCCCAAUCCAAUAAACCAUGGAUCAUAAGCCCAUUAUAUAAGAAUGGAUGAUUUACACAAUGAAUCCCCAUAUAUUAUUUAGUCUCUUUUUUAUUACGAAAUUAAUUCCAAAUUAAUUCUUGAUCAAUACUAAUUAAAUAAUAUGAUUUCAUAUUAAUAUAUUAUAACUUAUAAUAUAUUAACAAAUAAUAAGUGUCCUUUUUCUCAUUUUGUCUAUCCAACUAUCAUGAUGCCAUGCAACCCAAAUGGACCAUGCCAAACCAGGUCAACUACAUACCAGAAAUAGUUAUGGACUUAGACACCUUAUCCAACAGUCUCCGACUUGGAUAAGUCUAAUAAAUAUAAUUGCAACUAUGACUUCACGAACCAAUCAGCAAUCAUAGCUCUUUCAAAGUCUCGCGAAACUCAGAUGACCAUUCAUUGAAGAUAAGUGAUCAUAUAUUCCUCUGCUCUCAAUAUAUCAUCCAGAAAAAUACAUGGAACAAUGUCGUACUUAAUGUCCAGUGGUUUGUUUCCCGAUUUCCGGUAUGUUUGACAUAGAACUAAACUGAACACAUCAAAUUUGGUUCUGACCGGGCCCAAUACAUAGGUCAAAAUAAAAUCAUUGAGGGGCCCAGAUAUCGCUUCUAAUCCUCCGAGGACUAGAAGGAGCAGAUAAACUUCGACUCAUAUACUUAUACUAACUAUUUGUUGAAUCAUACACAAAAGCAGGUUUUAUAACAUUAAGUUACCGAUGCGUUUUUGUACAAUCAAUGUAUAACCAACUCAUAGUCAACAACUCAUAUCUCAAGGUUUGAAGAAUUAUAUGAUAUUACUGUCUCACGAUCACUCAAGAUAAAUUCCAUGAAGUGAUACAAGUGAGCGUGGGUUGAAUCCAAUACUCGAAUCACUAUUCCAGGAGUACUCAUGAACACUAUAGUCCCUUUGUCCCAGACAAACUACAGACCCAUUCAUGACAGUCUUGCAUCAUUACCUAAUUCCAAAGUAUGAUUGACUGUGGAUGGUUUGAAUAAUAUGAUAUACCAUAACAUAAUUAUUCUGGAAGUCAAAACAUGCAAAAUUGAAAUGAUAGUAAACGAUUGAUAGAAGAUAGUAACACUUUACUUACAAAUAAAUAAAAACUAUUAUUUAAUCAUCAAAUGUCAAUUACACUUUACAAAUUUCAAAAGCUAUCUCAUUUCUAGAACUAAUAUCAUCCUUUAGCCUAAUGUGCCUGGCAUGCUGAAGAUACUUAACCCUACUCAGUCCUUUCAUGAGGGGAUCUGAUGGGUUCUCAUCCGAUGAUACCCUCUUUGCCACGAGGAGUCUUUCUUCUAUUCGAUAUCUAAUGAAACGGUCUUUUCUGUCGAUGUGUCUAGAUAUCCCGUGAUCCCUUGGUUCCUUGGCUAAGGCAACUGCGCUUUCACUGUCACAGAAAAUCUCCACAGGCUCCUUUAUAGCUAGUAUUACUCCAACGUCUCCAAUGAAGUUCUUCAGCCAUAUAGCCUCCUUUGAUGCCUUGCUUGCCGCUAUAUGCUCUUAUUCGCAAGUUGAAUCAGUCACUGUCUCCUGCUUGGAACUUUUCGAUGUAAUUGCUCCUCUGUUUAAGGUAAAGACCCAGCCUGACUGAGAGCAGAAAUUAUCCCUAUCAGUCUGGAAGCUAGAAUCACUAUACCCUAAUACUCUCAAGUCAUCACUCCCACCGAGGGUAAGGAUCCAAUCCUUAGUCCUCUCAGGGUACUUGAGAAUGUUCUUUACCGCAGUCCAGUGAGCCUUGCCAUGGUUUCCCUGGUAUUUGUUGACCAUGCUUAAAGCAAAUGCCACAUCAUCACGGGUACAAUUCAUAGCAUACAUGAUCAAGCCUACAACGGAAGCAUACAAUACUCGACUCAUUUCAGCUAUCUUAGCCUCGGUCUGGUGUUACUCCCGAUCGGUAACUCUCUUUUCUUGGAAUCGUGCAUGCUAAACCUAUUCAGCACCUUAUCCAAGUAGGUGCUUUGGCUAAGUCCAAUUAGUCUCUUACUCCUAUCUCUCAAAAUCCUUAUCCCUAGGAUAUAGGCAGCUUCUCCAAGGUCCUUCACAGCGAAACACUUCCUAAGACAGGCCUUCUCUUCCUGCUGAGUUGGGAUGUCAUUUCCUAUGAGUAGUAUGUCAUCCACAUACAAUAUUAAAAAUCUAACUAUACUCUCACUAGCCUUGACAUAUACACAUGACUCAUCUUCACUCCUAGAAAAACCAAACUCUUUGUCAUUUCCUAGGGUACUUUGUACUAACAAAACCCUCUGGCUGACUCAUGUAAACAUCCUCAGCCAACUUUCCAUUAAGGAAAGCUGUUAUGAUAUCCAUUUGCCAUAUUUGAUAAUCAUGAAAUGCAUCAAUGGCUAGCAUAACCCUAAUAGACUUAAUCUUCACUACUGGUGAAAAGGUCUCAUCAUAGUCAACUACCGGAGUUUGAUAGAAGCCCUUUGCAACCAGUCGCACCUUAUAAGUGUGUACAUUCCCAUCCAUGUCGAGCUUCUUCUUGAAGAUCCAUUUGUACCCGAAUGUCUUACGACCUUGUACAUUGUCAACCAAGUUCCAAACUUGAUUGUCAUACAUGGACUAUAGCCAUGGCCUCCGUGUAGCUGUUAGGUUCAUCCAGACUUACCAGUGUAUUAUCGUUGAUAUGUGUAUCACCUUCCGUAGUAAUAUGGAAACCAUAGUAAUGCUCAGGUGCAUUCCUAACUCUAGUGGAACGCCUCAGAGGUACAUACUCGUCAGUUGGAUCAACAAGAGUUUCCUCCUCAGGUUGAUUGCUAGGGUUUGGGGUUCCUUCACCACUUGACUCUUGAGUUUAAUCAAGGUCAAUUUGCCUCCCAUUGUUCACUUGGCUUAUAAACUCUCUCUCUCUCUCUCUAUAUAUAUAUAUAUAUAUAUAUAUANUGUCUCUGUCUCUAUCUCUCUCUCGAAAGACUCUUGUCCUUGCAACAAAUACCACAUUAGCACUGGGUCUAUAGAAGAGGUACCAAAUGAUUUAUGUGGGUAGCCGAUGAAAAUACACCUCUCACUUCGAGGUUCGAGCUUAUCGUGAGUCUCGCGCCUCACAAAAGCCUCGCUACCCCAAAUCUUGAUGUGGUCCAAAUUGGGAACUUUCCCAGUCCACAUCUCGUGUGGUGUUUUGGCAACCUUUUUGGUAGGGACUAAAUUAAGGAUAUGGGUGGUAGUCUCUAAGGCAUACCCCCAAAAUUAGAUUGUUAGUGAAGCUUGACUCACCAUGGUGUCCUUUGAUAGUUGUGUCACAAGUAGGGUUACAUCAUGUAAACCCUAAUUGACAUGGCUUUUCAUUUCCUCCAUGAUCCAUGGGUUUUAUCCUCCAUGGACUAUCCAAGGAGCACCCUAUGGGUUUUAGCCCAAUUCAAUAAACCAUUGAUCAUUAGCCCACUAUAAAAGAAUGGAUGAUUUACACAAUCAACCCCAUAUAUUUAAUUAGUCUCCUUUUAAUCACCAAAUUAAUUCUAAAUUCUUGAUCAAUAUUAAUUAAAUACUAUUAUUAAUAUAUUAGAACUUAUAAUAUAUUAAUAAACCAUAAGUGUCAUUUCUCUCAUUUUGUCUAUCCAAGUGUCUUGAUGCCAUGCAACCCAAAUGGACAAUGCCAACCUAGUCAAGUACAUUCCAGAAAUAGUUAUGAACUUAGACACCUAAUCUAACAGUCUCCCACUUGGGUAAGUCUAAUAACUAUAACUGCAAGAAUGACUUCACGAACCGAUCAGCAAUCAUAGAUCUUUCAAAGUCUUGUGGAACUUAGAUGAUGAUGAUACAUCAUUUAAGAUAAGUGAUCAUAUAAUCCUCUAUUCUAGAUAUCAGUCGGACAAAUACAGGGAACAAUGUCGUACUUAUUGUCUAGCAGUUUGUUUCCCGAUUUCUGAUUUGUUUGACAUAGAACUUAAUCGAACACAUCAAGUUAGUUCUGACCAGGCCUGGUACUUAGGCCAGAACAAAAUCAUCGAGGGGCCCAGAUAUCGCUUCUAAUCCAAGAAGGAACAUAUAAACUUCGACUUAUAUGCUUGUUCUACUACUUGUUGAAUCAUAUACAAAGGCACGUUUUAUAACAUCAAGUUACCAAUGCGUUUUCGUGCAAUCAAUGUAUAACCGACUCAUAGUCAAUAACUCAUAUCUCUAGGAUUGAAGACUUCUAUGAUAUUACCGUCCCACGAUCACUCGAGAUAAAUUCCAUGAAGUGAUACAAGUGAGCGUGGUUUGAAUCCAAUACUCAGAACUUAUGAGGACUCAUGAAUGUUGUUGCAACUCUUGCUAUGUCCAACACCUUUGACAUAUACAAACCAACUUCAUAACAAUAUUGAUUCAUAUCUACUUCCAACAUAUGACCGGUUGCGGGGAAUUUGAAUAACAUGAUAUACCAUAACAUAAUUAUUUUGGAAGUCAAAAUAUGCAAAAUGAAAUGAUAGUAAACAAUUGAUAGAAGAUAGCAACACUUUACUUAUAAAUAAACAACAACUUUUAUUUAUCAUCAAAUGUCAAUUACAAUUUACAAAUUUCAAAAGCUAUCAAAUUUUAAAACUAAUAUCAUCCUUUAGCCCUAUGUGCCUCGCAUGCUGAAGAGGCUUAACCUUACUCAGUCCCUUCGUGAGGGGAUCUGCUGGGUUAUCAUUCGAUGAUACCCUCUUUGCCAUGAGGAGUCCUUCUUCUAUUCGAUGUCUUAUGAAAUCGUAUUUUCUAUCGAUGUGUCUGGAUCACCUGUAAUCCCUUGGUUCCUUGGCUAAGGCAACUGCACUUUCACUAUCAUAGAAAAUCUCCAUAGGCUCCUUUAUAGCUAGUACUACUCCAAGGUCUCCAAUCAAGUUCUUCAGCCAUAUAGCGUCCUUUGAUGCUUCGCUUGCCGCUAUAUACUCUGAUUCGCAAGUUGAAUCAGCCACUGUCUCCUGCUUGGAGCUUUUCCAAGUAAUUGCCCCUUCGUUUAAGGUAAAGACCCAGUCUGACUGAGAAAGGAAAUUAUCUCUAUCAGUCUGGAAGCUAGCAUCACUAUACCCUACUACUCUCAAGUCAUCACUCCCACCGAGGGUAAGGACCCAAUCCUUAGUCCUCUGCAGGUAGUUGAGAAUAUUCUUUAUCGCAGUCCAGUGAGCCUUGCCAUGGUUCCCCUGAUAUCUGCUAAACAUUCUCAACACAAAAGCUGCAUCAGGACGAGUACAAGUCAUAGCAUACAUGAUCGAGCCUACAACGGAAGUAUACGAUACUAGACUUAUCUCAACUAUCUCAGCUUCUAUACUCGGACUCUAAGUCUUACUCAAUCUGGCGUUACUCUGGAUCGGUAACUGUCCUUUCUCUGAAUCCUGCAUGCUGAACCUAUUCAACACUUCAUCAAAGUAGGUACUCUGACUAAGUCUAACUAGUCUUUUACUCCUGUCUCUCAAAAUCCUUAUCCCUAGGAUAUAGGCAGCUUCUCUAAGGUCCUUUAUAUCGAAACACUUCCCAAGACAGGAUUUCACUUCCUGUAGAGUUGGGAUGUCAUUUCCUAUUAGUAGUAUGUCAUCCACAUACAAUACCAAAAAGCUAACUAUACUCCCACUAGCCUUGACAUAUACACAAGAUUCAUAUUCGGUCCCUGAAAAGCCAAACUCUUUGACUUUCUCAUCGAAACAAAGAUUCCAUCUGCGAGGUGCUUGUUUCAAUCCAUAGAUGGAUAUCUCAACCUUCCAGUAAGGAAGGCGGUUUUGACAUCCAUUUGCCAUAUUUCAUAGUCAUGAAAUGCAGCAACGGCUAACAUAACCCUAAUAGACUUAAUCUUUGCUAUUGGUGAAAAGGUCUUGUCAUAGUCAACUCUCGAAGUUUGAGAAAAUCCCUUUGCAACCAGUCGUGCCUUAUACAUGUGUACAUUACCAUCCAUGUCGGUCUUCUUCUUGAAGAUCCAUUUGUACCCGACUGUCUUACGACCUGGUACAUUGUCAACCAUGUUCCAAACAUGAUUGUCAUAGAUGGCUUCCGUGUAGUUGUUAGGUUCAUCCAGACUUACCAGUGCAUUAUCAUUGAUAAGUGUAUCACCUUCCGCAGUAAUAUGGAAACCAUAGUAAUGCUCGGGUGCAUUCCUAACUCUGGUGGAACGCCUUAGAGGUACGGACUCGUCAGUCGGAUCAACAUUUGUUUCCUCCUCAGGUUUAUUGCUAGCGUGUGAGGUUCUUUCGCCACUUGACUCUUCAAUUUCUUCAAGGUCAAUUUACCUCCCACUGUUUCCUUGACUUAUGAACUCUCUCUCGCGAAAGACCCCUCACCUUGCUACAAAUACCACAUUAUCAUUGGGUCUGUAGUAGAGAUAACCAAAGGAUUUAUGUGGGUAGUCGAUGAAAAUACACCUCUCACUUCGAGGUUCGAGCUUAUCGUGAGUCUCACGCCUCACGAAAGCCUCGCACCCCAAAUAUUGAUGGGGUCAAGAUUGGGAACUUUUCCAGUCCACAUCUCGUGAGGUGUUUUGGCAACCUUUUUGGUAGGGACUAGAUUAAUAAUAUGGGCGGCAGUUUCUAAGGCAUACCCCCAAAAUCAGAUUGGUAGCGAAGGUCGACUCAUCAUGGAACAAACCAUAUCCAUCAAGGUUCGAUUACGCCUCUCAGCCUCACCAUUAAGCUGUGGUGUUCAGGGAGGUGUUAAUUGUGAGAAAAUCCUACAUUCCAUAAGAUAGUCAUGGAAGCCUGUACUAAGAUACUCACCACAUCGAUCGGAUCGAAGCAUCUUAAUGUUCCUGCCCCACUGAUUCUCCACUUCCUGUUUAAACUCCUUGAACUUUUCAAAGGUUUCUGACUUAUGCUUGAAUAAGUAGACAUAUCCAUAUCUACUAUUAUCAUCAGUAAAAGUCACAUAGAAGCGGUUAGCAUCCCUUAUGGCAGUUCAGAAGGGUCCACACACAUCAGUGUGUAUGAGAUCUAACAAAUCCUCACCCCUAGCACAAGUACCAGUGAAGGGUAACUUUGUCAUUUUCCCAAGCAAACAAGAUUCACAACUAUCAUCCGACUUUAGGUGAAAUGACUAUAAGACUCCGUCCUUUUGGAGAUGUCUUAUGCAUUUCUUGCUUACAUGUCCAAGACGACAAUGCCAUAAUGAUGCUUUAUCUAAGUUAGUGGAAGAAAAAAAAUACACAACACUUAUUUCCUAGGUUAUCUACAACCGUCACAUUUUCAUAUACACCAUCACAAGCUAAUGCUUUAAAGUAAAGAACAAUAUUAAAGAAAGUGUUAAUAUCACCCCACUCAUUGUCAAAUGAAAAGGUAAACCCUUGUUUGUACAAACCAUGAAAGGAAAUAAUAUUUCUUUCCAUUUCAGACGAGUAACAACAUUUAUUCAAAUCUAAUGUUAACCCACUACUUAGCAACAAAGAAUAAACUCCAAUCUUGGUGAUAGGUGAAGCUUUCGUAUUCCCCAUGGUUAAGUUUAUCUUCCCAUGCUCCACAUUCUCACUUUUUCUUAGUCCCUGCAAGUCAGAACAUACGUGAAUACCACAACCUGUAUCAAGGACCCCGAGAAUUAGAAUGAGGUGAGUUAUUAGACAAUAUAGUGUAAAUACCUGCAUGGUUGGGUUUUACUUUCCCAUCCUUAACAUCUUGCAGGUACUUUGGGAACUUUCGCCUCUAGUGCGCCUUUUUAUGGCAAUAGAAGCUUUUAGCCUCUUUAGGGUUGGCAGAAGGAGUGACAGAACCACUUUUGGUUCUACUUGAAGAGGAGCCAUCAAGGGAAUUUUCCUUGGUACCCUUCGAGGGGCUCUUCCUCUUCUUCCCUUUACCUUCCCUGAUAGCCAGAAUAGGGGCGGCGGUAGGAGUAGGAGUAGUAACAGUCGAUUUACCUUUGAGACCACUUUCAGCGGUCUUUAAAAGUCCUUGAAGUUUGAUAAGUGCAACUUCCUCCUUGUUCAUGUGGUAUGUAAUUCAGAAUUGAUCAUAACAAGAAGGUAAGGAGUGCAAUAUGAUGUCAAUUGCUAAUACCUCGGGGAAGUUCACAUUUAAUUUCAGCAAACGGUCCACGAAUCUUUUCAUUUUCUACAUGUGGCCCAUGAUGGGUUCACCAUCCUUCAUUCGGGUUGUUAUCAUGGAGGAGAUUAUUUCAUAUCGCUCUUGACGAGCACUCCAAUUGUAUCUGUCCAUCAAAUCCUAGUGCAUCUCAAAAGGAUAAUAGUCCUCAUAGGACUUUUGGAGCUCGGCUGUCAUAGUGGCCAACAUGAUACACGCCACCUUAGUGGCAUCUCGCCCAUGUGCCCGGAAUUCAGCGAUCUCCUCUGGAAUAGCAGACGACUCAUCAAUGUCCUUAAGCUCCUUGUUGAGGAAAUAUUCCUUGUCUUCAUAGCUCGUGACCAUCCUGAUGUUCCUGAUCCAAUCAUUGAAGUUGGAUCCAUCAGAUAUGACUCUCCCACAAAGGUUCAUGAGAGAGAAGGAGCCGGUAGGGUUUGAUCUAGAAGCAACGUUGUUGGAAGACAUCUGAAAAGAAAGAAGGACAAAUUUAGAUUAGAUAUAAAGAUAUUUAAAAGUAGGUGAAUGACGAUUCACCAAUUUCCACCUUGAAAAACAAAAUGUAUUAUUAGGCUUUAAUUGGUUUUGAAACUCCUAGAUUCUUUUGAGAUUCAUUAAACUUUCC